rnacentral:misc_RNA from 1 species
AACAUAUCUACGUAUCAACCAACCGUGAACUUUGUUUUUUCCAAUCUUGCUCUGCUUCUAGAAGAAAUUUCCAGUUUCGGCUGGUAAUGGAAACGAAAAAGCAUCAAGGCUGGAAACUUAUUUACCCAUUGUAUUAUUUUAUCAUAUUUUAUUUUCUUUGUCGCGGCCUAACGGCGGACUUUCUAUUAAGAAAUUUUUGUA